UUUCAGGUGUUUCUGUCCACCAGGUGAACAUUCAUUGGGACUGAAACCUCUUGGGCUUCUCCUGGCUCUCAAGAGGUUCAGCACUGGGCUGGCACGAGCUUCCUCGGCACUGUCAGGAGCGAAGUGUUUCUUGGCAUGUGCAGGAGCUGAAUGCUGGGCACCUGGAGAACUUUAAAAUUGAAAUAGGUACCUACUUAGGUUUAAGAGCCUUCUGAGCUGGGCAGCAGCUGAGCAGAAGUUUUUAGUAUCACUGUUCGUAAUUGCAGCUGACUUCUGCCUGGCUUGGAUACUUCAAUAACUUUUUGGGAUCUGGCCCUAAGGGUUUUAUUUUUUUCUAGCUUUUGCAUUAAAUAAUAAAGAGCAGGCAAUUAAGAAGUCUUGCUUAACUGGCUUAGCCUCUUGAAGAGAGCUACAAAUUAGCCUUGUUCCCUGCUCCUGAGGAUCAUUAGAUCAUUUGUUACAAGGGCGCAGGGAGCCUCCGCAGUGUUUUGUGGCAGAAGGGCACAGGGCUACUCUGUGGAGUGCUCUGUGCUGUUGUUUACAAACCAAGAGUGCUACCCUGAGCAUCCCAGCUGGAUGUUUAGUUUGAAAAGCGAUAUGUCAGUCGCUAUUUAAUUAGGACCCUGCAGCCCACCUUUCUCAGAUGCUGCAGCUUAUUAAAGCGUUCCCUGAUUGGGAAUAUGCAGAUGCCAUUGGUGGAAGUAAUAGCUGCCUUUAGUCAGAGUGAAAGGACUUUGCCACCUCUAGCUUGGAGUUACAGCAGCACACUUGGACCCCAGGGCUUAGGUGUAAGGACGGAGGAGACAAACAGGCUCCUAUUCUCCUUCCAAGGAAAAUGCUUUAGGAAGGGGUGUUGCUGUGCUCCCUGUCCCGGGAGAGGAAAUUCUCCUCCAUUGCUGCCUGUGUAUCCUUCCCACAUGGCUCUUCUCUGCAAGAAUUUCAAGAACAGAUCUCCAGUGUACCAGACAAGCCAUUUUCCCUUGAUGUUACAACCCACACAGCUGCUGUACCGAGUCAUGUUUGGUGGUGGUAUUUACUUAGUGCUCUCUGAGGAUCUUCUGGUCUUUAUUCCUUUUGAUUACUCUUAGCAUCACUGAAGUUCAGCUGGUCCAAGAAUCCCUGAUGGAUUUAAGAAGCUAGAACAUACAGCAAAGAUGAAUGAACUUUAUUUAAAACAGAACCAGCCAGUUCUUUUCCUCACUAAAGAAACAGACUGUGGCAGACAGCCAGGAUGUUUCUCUUCUGUAAAGAUCUCGCACCAGCCCUACCUUAGCUGGUUCCCCUCCUCUCCUUUUGUCAGUGUGAUGCAUCUGCAUUAGCAAGCUGUGCUUUUCAUUCCAAAGUGAUGAAAGGGGAAAACAAUAAAUUACAAUGCCUUUUAAGAAGUCUCCAAAUCUUAUCAGAUCUCACAUUUCAUCCUUGCUGCUCUUUUAUGUCAUUCUUUUACUAUUACUCUAAUUGCCACUCAAAAUUUAUUUUGCUGCUGUUGUGCACCCAGCACUUGCAGCUACUGUUGAGAAAUAGUAUGGAGGCAGAAAGCAGAGAUCCUCUCUCUCCCUUUUUGUAAAUUCCUAUUGCUUGUGAAAUUCCCAAACUCACAACCUCCCAAGUUUCUGAGAAGAGUGGCCCUCUACGUACUCGGAGGUAUUGUUACACUGUUAAAAAUGGAAAUUUGAUGCUGCUUCUUGUGGGGUGGAGGGGAAGGAAUUGAGAAAGGUGGCGGUUUCACCCUAGCUGUCUCAUGAUAGUUGAAUGCUGGGAGUAGAAAACAGUAUAACAAAUACCUGAAAAUGCAGCCACCUACCACUCUUUUAUAUAAAUUUGAGAUUACGAGCCAAACUCACUGUUGACAUAAGCAGAUGCAAAUCUAAUGAAGUCACUGUAGUUACUUCUACUUAUGCCAGAGGUGAAUUUGUCCCUAUUUUUGGAACAUGCUGGUUUUGUGCUACAGCAUUGGCACACUGUAUCAUGUCAAAAUCCUUUUGAGCAAUGGCAGUGUGCCACUGGCUGAGUAACAUGAUGCAUCAUGUCAAACAUCUGCCUGAUAAUGGUCCUGAUCUGCUUUUUGACAUGAUGCAUCAUGCCACUGUACCAUGCCCGAAGGCAUCUGAUAGGAAUUCUGUCGGGAUCUGGUAACAAGAAACGUGUGCUAGUAUUGGAGAAUUUUGGCAUUUUGUGGAAAACAGUGAUCUCUGUGUUAGUGCAUUUAUAAAUCUCUUGCAAAUGCCUCAUGUACUUGGGUGAAAAAUGAUCACUAAUGUACUCCCACUUCAAUGUGUCACAUUAGCAUAAUAAACGAUAAAUCAUUUUCUA